rnacentral:rRNA from 1 species
GGCCAGACUCCUACGGGAGGCAGCAGUGGGGAAUAUUGCACAAUGGGGGGAACCCUGAUGCAGCGACGCCGCGUGAGCGAUGAAGUAUUUCGGUAUGUAAAGCUUUAUCAGCAGGGAAGAAAAUGACGGUACCUGACUAAGAAGCCCCGGCUAACUACGUGCCAGCAGCCGCGGUAAUACGUAGGGGGCAAGCGUUAUCCGGAUUUACUGGGUGUAAAGGGAGCGUAGACGGCAGUGCAAGCCAGAUGUGAAAGCCCGGGGCUCAGCCCCGGGACUGCAUUUGGAACUGCGUGGCUGGAGUGCAGGAGGGGCAGGCGGAAUUCCUGGUGUAGCGGUGAAAUGCGUAGAUAUCAGGAGGAACACCGGUGGCGAAGGCGGCCUGCUGGACUGCAACUGACGCUGAGGCACGAAAGCGUGGGGAGCGAACAGGAUUAGAUACCCGCGUAC